rnacentral:rRNA from 1 species
UACAGAGGUCCCGAGCGUUGUUCGGAUUCACUGGGCGUAAAGGGUGCGCAGGUGGUUGGGCAAGUUCGAUGUGAAAGCCCCGGGCUUAACCUCGAGAUGUCAUCGGAAACCAUUUGGCUAGAGUCCGGAAGAGGAGAGUGGAAUUCCUGGUGUAGCGGUGAAAUGCGCAGAUAUCAGGAAGAACACCCGUGGCGAAGGCGGCUCUCUGGGACGGUACUGACGCUGAGACGCGAAAGCGUGGGGAGCGAACAGG